CAAGUAAACCCGUCCUCGGUCUCGGCCGGGGAUGGGCUACUACCAACCCUUUGUUGUCCGACCGCGUUGCCUCCGGGGCGACCCUGACCUCCGGGUUCUGGGGGACCCCGGGUGGACACCUAAACUCUGCGUAACUUUGUAGUCUGAGUAAAUAAGUUAAUAAAUUA
rnacentral:misc_RNA from 1 species